UCUAUAUAAAUCAACUCCUGUCUUUACUUCUAUUUACAUCAAGUCUUUACGGUUUCUAUAGUACAUAUCUUCAACUAACUAAUGGCUAACAAGCUCUUGUAUUUUGUAUUGAUGGCGGUGUUUCUACUAUUCAGUGUGUCUAAAAUCUGGUGGGAAACUUCUAAUAAACGGCGAGUUUACUCGACGAUGGAAUGGGUCGAUAAACUUUUUAAAUCAGGAACUGCGUUUCUUCAUAUCGGAUUCGAUGAAGAUCAAGAGUACUUUAGAUCUUAUUUUCUGCUAUAGACUAUUACGUCAAGUUAGCGUGUGUUAUAUAUGGUUUUCUGCUAUAGACUAAAACAGUUAUGUAGUAAUCAAAAUCAAAACUUUAACCACAGAAAUGGGUCAUGUGUCGGCAGAACCAACUUGGGUUAAUAAGCUAGCGAAUCGAAAGCCCAGCCAAGCCUCAGCCCCCAGUUUUGGUCUGGCGAAUACUUUAAACACAUUUUCUGUAUAUGCCGUUCAAAAUUUUCUGUUUUAAUAAGCCUUUGUAAGAUACUACUACUAUGCAAGGAAAUUUUCGAGCAUAUCUUAGCAAUACAUAUUUGAGUUAAAUAAAUAUUUGCUCGAUUA